GACGAACGCUGGCGGCGUGCUUAACACAUGCAAGUCGAACGGAAAGGCCCUGCUUUUGUGGGGUGCUCGAGUGGCGAACGGGUGAGUAACCCGUGAGUCACCUGCCCUUGACUUUGGGAUAACUUCAGGCAACUGGGGCUACUACCGGAUAGGAGCUCCUGCUGCAUGGUGGGGGUUGGAAAGUUUCGGCGGUUGGGGAUGGACUCGCGGCUUAUCAGCUUGUUGGUGGGGUAGUGGCUUACCCAGGCUUUGACGGGUAGCCGGCCUGAGAGGGUGACCGGCCACAUUGGGACUGAGAUACGGCCCAGACUCCUACGGGAGGCAGCAGUGGGGAAUAUUGCACAAUGGGCGGAAGCCUGAUGCAGCAACGCCGCGUGCGGGAUGACGGCCUUCGGGUUGUAAACCGCUUUCGCCUGUGACGAAGCGUGAGUGACGGUAAUGGGUAAAGAAGCACCGGCUAACUACGUG
rnacentral:rRNA from 1 species